rnacentral:lncRNA from 1 species
UCCUUUCCUAUUCCCCCGGUUCCGCCGUUGGGGCCCCGGCCCUGGGGCAGUCGGGAGCCGGCUUCCCUGCACCGUGACGCUACCGGGCGGCCCUCCUGAUAGCGAAAGUGGCUCCGUUAAAACUUCAGGGCUUUGCUGCUCUUCCGUGGGAAAUGCCGCUUUGUUAUUAUAUUAUAUUAUCGCAUUUAUACCUCUCUCUCCAAAGGGCGCAAAGUGGGGCAUUUGUUUUUUUGUUUUUUUUAAAAUGAUAUUUAUUAAGGUUUCCAAUAAAAAGAACACAUCAAUAAAAAAUUAAAAAGAAAAAAGAAAAAUACACAAUUCAAAAAUACACAAUACAUAAUCCAAAAAAAAAAAAGACAAAAAAGAAAACAGUUAAAAACAAUACCACCUUUUCAUCACCAUUUUUAAAUUUACUUAUUUUCUGGACCUCCUCAUACCUCCCUCUUUUGUAUUCCAGUUCAAUUUGUUUGUCCAGCAAUUUCUUUCCCUCUUUUUUAAUCCCAAUCCUUAAUAUAAUAUAACAUUGAAUUUUUACCUCUUAAAAACCAAAUUUCCAUUUCCUUUAACUUUUUUAAUCCUAGUCCUUAAUCGUGAUCUAUAUAUAACUUUAAAGCCUGUAUAGCUAGAAGCCACUUAUUUUCAAUCCAACAUCACUCUAACAUUCUUUAAUUUUGCAAUGUUUCUGCAGAUAGUCUUUGAAUUUCUUCCAAUCUUCCUCCACCGACUCUUCUCCCUGGUCACGGAUUCUGCCAGUCAUUUCCGCCAGUUCCAUAUAGUCCAAAGUGGGGCAUUUGUGCCUCUCCCCGCCCCGUGGCUUGUUGGUUUGUAUUUUCUUUUCUUUUUAAAGCAGCAAGUAAAAAGCAGUAAUGAAAACAGCACAAGAAUUGCAACUGUGCAUUUGCGCUGAAAAUGCAAGCAGAACUUGCCUGACAUCAUCAUCAUCAACCGUCAUCAUAAUUUAUUUAUUUAUUAUCAAUAAAAUUUAUAUACCGCCCUUUAUCAGAAGAUCCCAGGGUGGUGUACAACAUUAAAAAACAAAUUAGAGAACCAGGUAGGUAGCCAUGUUGGUUUGACGCAGUAGAAAUAUAUUAACAAAUAUUUUAAAAUGUCCAGUAGCACCUUAGAGACCAACUAAGUUUGUUCUUGGUAUGAGCUUUUGUGUGCAUGCACACUUGGUAUCUGAAGAGGUGUGCAUGCACACAAAAGCUCAUACCAAGAACAAAUUUAGUUGGUCUCUAAGAUGCUACUGGACAUUUAUAUAUAUAUAUAUAUAUAUAUAUAUAUAUAUAUUUACAUUACAGAACAUCGGUGAUAAAAAAACAGAAUAAAAGCAGAAUACCCUAAAAACAAACUGAUGGACAGCCUAAUAAUACAAAUAGUGUAAUGCACAAAUCCCACAGCUAAAAGAACUCUUUAUUUUUAUUUUAAAUGCUUAUUGACCUGAACACCAUGAAAAAAAGGGGUUUGCAAUUUUGAAGUAAGUAUUGCAAGCAGGGGAAGUUUAGACGUAAAAGAAACCCAGAAAGGGAAGUUGAUGGAAGUCGGGGGGGUGGGGAUGGGGAAUACAGUUUGGUAGUAUUUGUUAUGAUGUGAUAAAAAUGUAAAACCCAAUAAAAACUGUUUUAAAAAGAAAGAAGGUGUUUUCUGGGUGUGAUUGGCGGCGGCAUUUCCCAAAAAGGCCUGCCACUGAGUCAGCACCCAUGUUAUCCACACACAACAGCCCCCAGUGAGCUUAAUGGCUGAGUGGGGGAUUUGAGCCCUGGUCUUCCUCCAGGUCCUGGUAGUCUGACGCUAUUGCACCACGAUGGCUCUCCAGCCGGACCCACUGCAAGACCAAGGCUGCAGCCCCUUACCUGGGAGCAAGCUCUACACUGAAUUCACUAGGACUGGCUUCUGAGUAGACACGUAAACCUUCAUAGGAUUUAAAGGGGGUGGCUUUUGAGGAGGGGUCUGAAGGAAGAGGGGAGGACCUCUAGAGAGCGUUUGGAGCAGCAAGGGAGCAUGCUCAGAAUUACAUAUGUUAUAAGAAUUUAAGGUCUCAAAUAUAAAUAAUAGUAAUAAUAAUAAUAAUAAUAAUUUAUUUAUAUCCCACCCUCCCCAACCAAAGCUGGGCUCAGAGCAGCUAGCAACAGUAAAAUAAUACAACAUUCUAAAAUCAAUUCAUUAUAAAAUCAGUUCAAUAUAUAAAUUAAAUGUUCAAGGCAAACACAUACAUAAAUAUAUAAACCACAUGUCUGAAACAGUGCAGGAAAACAGUCCUGAAACCAUUCUGACUCUCCCAAAUUGACCUCAAAUGUUUCUCUGCAAGAACAAAUGGGAAAACCUCCCCAUUGUCUCUUUGCUCACAAAUCCUGUCUUAAGGGUGUAUCUGUGUAUGAAUAGGGUGAGCCUGUGACCUGGAUUCAGGAACCAAGUAUUUACCAUCACAAAAGAAUGGCCAGGCUGCCCAGGUAAAGCAAUCACUGGCCAUUGUCAGGUAUCCUGGCAGACAGGAUUUCUGCUGUAGACCGCCUCCUUCUGUGAUGCAUGUAUGUAUUGGAGGGUGGCCUUGAGCUACAGGGUGGCAAUUUCAAAAGUACGGUAUACAGUGGUACCUCAGGUUACAUAUGCUUCAGGUUACAGACGCUUCAGGUUACAAACUCCUCUAACCCAGAAAUACUACCUCAGGUUAAGAACUUUGCUUCAGGAUGAGAACAGAAAUCGUGCAGCGGUGGCGCAGCGGCAGCAGGAGGCCCGAUUAGCUAAAGUGGUGCUUCAGGUUAAGAACAGUUUCAGGUUAAGAACAGACCUCCGGAACGAAUUAAGUUCUUAACCCGAGGUACCACUGUAUGAGGGCUUGCACACCAAUGUUCAGGGUUCCUUCUCCCUCCUUCGUGUGGUGAGUGAGGACCCUGUUGCAACAGUGUAAUAAAGAUCAGGCUUACAAGUUGCUUUGCUUCUCAGUGUUCUCUGGUUGGCCUCUGUUAUUUCCUCCUACCAAUAGGGAACCCGCUUAAGGACUCUAUAGGGGCUCUUGGAUACCCCAUAAGGGAAAAGGAGCAGAUUUUGUUUACAACAUGUAAGAGACCAGUUGAAGGGGGCAGAACUGCAGGAACAAAACUAGAGGAACUGCCUGGGAGCUUUGGAAGAAUCAAGGGCAGAAAGGUAAGUUGGUUAUUUAUGUAUUUCUUCUUUGGCGAUCACUCGUAGCCGGGUAAGAUUGUCUUCCAUAACGGUUUUAACAAUGAGUCCAUAAGUGACUGUGGAGGCCAAUUCUGGAUCCACACGUCCUUCCUCAGUGGGGAUAUUAGUUUCCAGGCGGGAGUUGAUCUCAGCAUGGAUUUGCUAAGUGUGCCUUCCUCUUAGCACAUUUCUGCCUUGCGUCCUGAGUUCGAGUGUCUUCAAAGCCCAGGACACCUUUGGUAAAGGCUGUUCUCCAGUUGGAGCGCUUGCAGGCCAAUGUUUCCCAAUUGUUGGUGUUUAUACUACAUUUUUAAAGAUUUGCCUUGAGUGGGUCUUUAAACCUCUUUUGUUGACCACCAGCAUUACACUUUUCAUUUUUAAGUUCAGAAUAGAGUAGUUGCUUUGGAAGAUGAUCAUCAGGCAUCCGAACAACAUGACCAGUCCAACGAAGUUGAUGUUGAAGAAUCAUUGCUUCAAUGCCACUACUGCGACCCGUGUUUUGUUAGCCUCAAAAUGGAAAACAAGCGAGGUCCCAACUAAAGAACAAUGGCAACUUAAGCUGAUGGAAUGUGCGCAGCUUGCAGACUUAACAUCUAGAAUAAGAAUAAGAAGAACAUAACGUUUAGAGAAGAUUGGGAAAUGUUUAUUGAAUUGUGUACACUUGAAAAUGUUGGCAGCAUUAAGAUAAUUUCAAAAGUGUAAAUAAGUUUUGAUGGAUGUAAUAAUGGAAUACUGAAUGGUUUGGUUUAUGUAAAAUAUGCAGGGAUUUGGGAUAUGUAAAAUGAACCAUGGAAAGAGAAGAAGGGAAGUCACUGAUAAUUUAAUUAUGUUUAAAUGAGUAUUCUAAAUUGUAAAACAGAAAAUUUAAUAAAAAUUAUAUAAAAGAAAGAAGGAAAAAGAAAGGUAAGUUGCAGUGAGGUCAUGGAGGGCUCUGAAAUCAGGCCUGGACAUAGAAGGGAAUGGGGAACAAAUGUUCGGAUUUGGGGAAAGUGGCCAUCCGGUGGUCCCUUUUAGAAUUUAGUUGCUACCCAGGGAUUUAUUGAGUGGGUGGGUUGCUGUCUAACUGGGGUAGUAGAGAGAUAGGAAGGACAUUUCCCAACCAGUCCCAUGGAAAGGUGACCAUUUGCCUCUCCCUUUCUCCUGUAGGAUUUGAUCACCCUGUAGUCGUGUAGAACUGCAUUGCUUGUACCAUGACGCACCGCGCAUUCACUCUCUCAACAGCGAUUUGCUUUGUCCUGGAUUGCAUGGGUGCUGUUUUGUUGCAGCAGAGUGUCGGGUGAGAUGCACUUUCCCAACUUGGUGAGUCUGUGGUUUAUCAUUUCAGUAGCAGCUUUCAGUGAAGAAAGUACUUUGCAAAUCUUAACCACAUUUAUCCACUUUAUGACUGAGCAGAAAUUUAAAUCCGGCCUUCUGGCCUCCAAAAACAUAUAUUUAUUCACUUCACUUUGCUGGCCCAAAUGGGGAAAAAACAGGACAAUUUAUUUUAUUUUAUUUUAUUUUAUUUUAGGCAAAUGUGUGAGGGGCUUACAAAUUUUAAUCUUGAGAGACCAGGGUUCAAGUCCCUGUUUGUUCAUGAAGGUGACUGGGUAAUCCUGGGCCAGUCACCAGCUCACAGCCUAAUCCAAAGUUCACAAAGUUGUUGUGAAUAUAAUACGGAGAUGAGAUCAGUGUCCGCAGUCUUGAGCUCCUUAGGAGGAAAGGUGGGAUAUAAAUUCAAUAAUAAAUAAAUAAAGUAAAUUGUUUUCUUUCUUUCUUUCUUUCUUUCUUUCUUUCUUUCUUUCUUUCUCUCUCUCUCUCUCUCUCUCUCUCUCUCUCUCCAUGUCUCUCUCACACACAUACUUUGCCCCAUUCUUCCUUGCCCCAUUCUUCCAUUGACAUCCUUCUCUUGCCAGGAUACCCUGUGAUGGAUUAUUUGCCGCAGAAGCGGCCUCUGAAUAUUUGGCAGCCUGAAGUGGCGGUGGAGGGAGGAUGGCUAUUUCUGUGGAAACGAGUCAGCAGAACUUUUGAUGAACUGGCAACUCUGCUGCAUGAAGUCCUAGAUUACGUUAAUGUAAUUAAACAGGGGCACUUGGUUCAUGAGAGGCAUCUGCUAAAUGCACAAAAGCAAUAAAAGUGAGAAAUUGUGGCUUCGCGGAGACUCGUCCCUGCCAGAAAGCCAGCCAAUUGUCAUUAGGAGAUUGCAAGCUCUUGGCUUUAGCUGCUGCCUGAGUUCUGAAACUGCAUUAUGCACGCUUAGAGCUCGUAUUUGCAUCAUGGCUGACACCAAGUUCUUUUGCUAUGGGGCAACAGGCGAAGAAGCCCUAGAGAAGGGGAUUCAGCAUUGUGUUAGGAACGAUGCCAAUGAUUCUCAGAAUAGAGAACCCCUCUGUGGCUUGGGAUAAGCCUAGUGGUGGCAAGUCUCAUCCUGAGUCACAUUUGCACCCCACCCUUCCCCCAAGUAGUGAAAGGAAACAUCCAUGGGGUAGCGAUUGGACCAAGAUCCACCUAUGGCAGCCUUCACAAACCUGGUGGCCUGCAGGUGUUAUGGACUGCAGCUCCCAUCUAGCUCAGCAUCGUAUGACUUUGCUGGCGUGGCCUGAUGGGAGCCACAGUUCAAAACAUUUGGAGGGCACCAGCUUGGGGAAGGCUGUGCCCCAUAAACUUCAUGAACCAAGCAGGAGCAUGAAGCCACAUCUCCUUGGUCCAAGUCCAAUUCUCCGCCUG